UACGUAGGGAGCAAGCGUUGUCCGGAAUCAUUGGGCGUAAAGCGCGCGUAGGCGGCCCUGUAAGUCCGUUGUGAAAGUCAAAGGCUCAACCUUUGAAAGCCGAUGGAUACUGCAGGGCUAGAGUCCGGAAGAGGCGAGUGGAAUUCCUGGUGUAGCUGUGGAAUGCGCAGAUAUCAGGAGGAACACCAAUAGCGAAGGCAGCUCGCUGGGACGGUACUGACGCUAAGGCGCGAAAGCGUGGGGAGCGAACAGG
rnacentral:rRNA from 1 species